rnacentral:lncRNA from 1 species
AUUUUCCUGUUUUGACAGAAAAAGAUUAAAGUUAACUGAUCUUCUGUAAGGACUAGUUAUCUUUUAUUGUUUGCCUAUUCAAAUGUGUAUGUAUAGGCUUUUAUCAAGAAACCACAAUCAAAAGCAAUAUUGGGUUCUGUUUUGUUGUUGCUAGAAAUAUAAAAUACUCAAUGUUUAUAUUAUCAUUUAGGUUUAUAUAAAGCAAAUUUGGAGAAUUGAAUAAAAACUUAGCAAUAGAAAUAUUGCAUUUUUCGAAAUAUUAUGAAAAAAACAAUGCUGAUUUCCUUUAAAAUUGCAAAAUAGAUAAAUGUACAGAUAUAUCUAUUUUUCUCUCUGAUAAAAACAGAUUGCCAAAUGAUACAUAAAUUAGGUAAAUCACAAUUUUAUUGAAUUCAUUCGGGCAAAUCACAGAAUCACUGAUGUCUUUAUGAAUUAAUUUAAGAUUUUGAUGUAUUUUGAAGUAUAAAAUCUGGUGGUUGGAGGCAGUUGUAUUUGAAUUUGUAUGAAAUUAUAUAUUCAUGAAUAUAAUAUAAUUAUUUAAAGAAAAAAAGAUAAUAUAACCUUUUGAAAAAAAAAGAUAUCAACAAGGAUGAGUUUAAAAACUGUGUUAUAGUUGAUAUUGAACUUAUUACCUUAAAUUGAUUGUGAUGGUGACUAUUAUUAUAUAUACAGUUUGAGUUGUCAAGUUUUAUUUAAAGAUAAACUUGAAAACACUGAGUAUUAACUUGAAAGUAUUGAAAGUAUUAUUAAAUCGAAUACAAUAUGAAAUUAUAAAGUUUGGAUUGGGUGUUUUUAUUUUGGUUUUACAAUAACCUUUUUUUUCAUAUACAUUUAAGUUUUCAAUGAAUUAUGUAAUUUUUCAGAUAAAAGAUAAAUAUGUAUAUAUUACUUUUUAAUUGAUUUUAAUUCUUGUGUAAAGUAUAUACUAAUUUGUGCGAGUGCGGGUAUUAAUUGAGGACUAGAUAAUUUGAAUAAACGCAGAAUACUGCUACAUCAUCUAUAUGAAGAUGCUAUCAAGGUUGAUAAAGGUU